GACGAACGCUGGCGACGUGCUUUAGGCACGCAAGUCGAACGCGAAAGCCCCUUCGGGGGUGAGUAGAGUGGCGAACGGGUGAGUAACACGUGGGUAACCUGCCCCUCGCAGGGGGAUAACCGGGGGAAACCCCGGCUAAUACCCCGUACGCUUGCUGGGGCGCAUGCUCCGGCAAGGAAAGGUAGCUUCGGCCAUCCGGCGAGGGAGGGGCCCGCGGCCCAUUAGCUAGUUGGUGGGGUAACGGCCCACCAAGGCGACGAUGGGUAGCUGGCCUGAGAGGGUGGUCAGCCACACUGGGACUGAGACACGGCCCAGACUCCUACGGGAGGCAGCAGCCAGGAAUCUUGCGCAAUGGGCGAAAGCCUGACGCAGCAACGCCGCGUGGGCGAUGAAGGCCUUCGGGUCGUAAAGCCCUGUUGUCGGGGACGAAGGGCGAAGGGUUAAUAGCCCCUAGCCUGACGGUACCCGACGAGGAAGCCCCGGCUAACUACGUG
rnacentral:rRNA from 1 species